rnacentral:rRNA from 1 species
AUUGAACGCUGGCGGCAGGCCUAACACAUGCAAGUCGAGCGGAUGAGAAGAGCUUGCUCUUCGAUUCAGCGGCGGACGGGUGAGUAAUGCCUAGGAAUCUGCCUGGUAGUGGGGGACAACGUUUCGAAAGGAACGCUAAUACCGCAUACGUCCUACGGGAGAAAGCAGGGGACCUUCGGGCCUUGCGCUAUCAGAUGAGCCUAGGUCGGAUUAGCUAGUUGGUGAGGUAAUGGCUCACCAAGGCGACGAUCCGUA